GCUAAAUUAAUAAGUUUCCCGCCUCCCCCAUAUUUUUAUUUCCCCCCAAUUUCUAAAAAAACAAGAACCCUAAAUUUUCAGCUCUCAGAUCAAUCACUUUAGCCAAGCGCUCAUUCUCGAUUCUCCUUUCUUAUGUGUUACUGCGAUAUAUGACUCAAAAUUUUCAUCCAUGGUAAUCUUAUGUCUCCUUGUUUGGUGGGAAAAAGUGUUUGAAAUUUUGAUGUUUAUGGGAAAAGGAUAUAAAAUAAGGUUUCUUCUCAACCUCGGAGGAAGAGGUGGUGCGUGGGUUAUGUCGGCUAGGUUAGGAGCGAAGAUUUCGUCGGGAAGUGGGUCACCCAUCACUACUUUGCUUUGGAUGAAGAACAUCUAGCUUCAUUGAAUGUUUCAGGGUUGUGAUGCUUUAGAGGAUUUUUCAUAUGUAGAUCUUCCACCAGAGAUACUGUUCAGCCCUUUUAUCAUGCAGUAGGAAUACUGUGUUGCCCUUUGAUCAUUACGUAAAGAAUCCUCAGCACAAUCCCAUGUGGUACAGAGGAAUGAAAAUCUUAAAGGAUAAAGUGCUAAGGCAAACCAAGAGACUGAUGAUCCUGUAAAUAUAGAUGAGAAAUCCUUCAAUUGGAAGGAACAAAUGCUAUGAACAUUAUUUUGGUGGCUUCAGAAUGCGCUCCAUGGUCUAAAACAGGUAUAUUUUACAUUGGAUAUGUAUCUUUUGUUCAGGGAGAAAUGCAUAAAUUAGUGCACUAUCCACAGUUAAGUUUUCUAUGACAGUUUGUAUCCUAGUAUAGUUGAUGAUACUUCAAAUUUUUGAGAACUGCAAAAGAGCUGGACCAGCAUUAAGAUAUUGAAAAUGAGGUGCUCGUUGUUUCUUUUCACCAACUUAUAGUGUUCAUGAAGUUUUCAGUAUUCCAUCAUUCUAGAUAAACAAGAUAACUAAUUAGUAGAAGUAUUAACAUAUUGUCAUACAUAUCAAAAGUAUUAUGUGACAUUUUCUUUGUAAUGUGAUAAAAGGCAUUUAAGAAAAAUGAAAAAUCAUCACUGAUCGUCCAAAGUGAAAUGAAAAGGUGAGCGUCAAAAGAAAAAGGAUUUAUUAUUAUCAUGCCUACGAAAAGUAUUAUGUGACAUUUUCUUAAUAAUGUGAUAAAAGGCAUUUAAGAAAAAUGAAACAUCAUCACUGAUUGUAGGAAGUGAAAUGAAUAGGUGAAUGUCAAAAGAAAAAAGAUCUAUGUUUUUUCUGCCUUUCUUCACUACUAGUAUUAUUGCCUUCUGAAUGGUUGAGGAUGGGUGAUGGAUUUGUUGUUUUCUCAAACAUUGAUUUUGUCUGUUAACUUCUCUGUUAUCUUUAUUUAAAAGCUACAGAGCUCUAUGCACGUAUAUAUAAUCAUUACUCAUACAGAUUUUUCACACUUCCAUGUUGCAUGAAUUUUAUUGUGUUUAUGCCUCUCGAUAUAUAUCAGUGUGAGCAUAUCUUUUACUUGUGAAGAGUUUUUUAAAUGGCUUGGAGAUGUUUCUAAAGCAUUACCUAAAGCUUUGACUCGACGUGACCACAGAGUUAAGGUAACUAGUUUAAUCCUUCACCUUGUGAAUUUAUGCAUUCAUAAUAAUAAUGUAUCAAGUAGAAUGUAGUGUAGAGAGAAAUUGUCUAUGAUGUCUCAGAAUGUUCUGCACAAGGUGUUAUAUUCUCUAUACAUCAUCUUUCUAACUACUGUACUAGUUAGUCUGUGAUAUAAAUUUAAUUUAUAAGCUUUCCAAAACAUAUAUUGUCUAACCAGAUUCUCGACACCAUAUAAACCUCUUGAUAAAUCAUUCAUAUAAUAAAGAUUUUGUGAUAAUAUUUGUUUCUUUUUGACACAUAAAACAGACAACUCUAUAGAUUGCUUAGUACAUUAGAAUUUUGCCUUCUCAUUUCAAAACACAGGAUGUAAAGUUGUCAGAUGAUGAAGUUUCCUUUUCUCCCCCCAUUUCCCUGAAACAUAGGUUGAGACUGAAAUUGAUGUUAGGAGCUUUGUGUGUUCUCUAGAUUAACCAACAAUUUACCAUGCUUAGGUAAUUCAAAGAGAGAUAUGAAAUUGUGAGCACAAGGUCAAAAGACAUGUGGAGCAUUGUACGAAAAAGUUGAAAGUAAAAAUCAGAAUAACAUAUCAAAUAACAGUAGAAUCAAUGGGAAGGACUAAUGGGUAUGUUAAGAGUCUCAAGCUUCAUCUUAUUACAGUAUCCCCAAGUUUGUGAUGUUGUCCGUUCUAUGAUGUUUAUUUGUCUAACUCUUGAAGCAUGUUAUUCAGUUCCAGUUCUUUAAAAUCAUCUUUAUCGUCUUCGUAGCUUGUGAGUAAUGUUUUGUGUAGUCAUUUUAAUCUCAUUUUCUACAAGCGUGGAUGACAUAAUGUCCAUUUUCAUACUGUCAUAUCGUGGUCUUACUUGUGUAGUUCUGCAUUUUUCAUUGUAUACUAAAACUACUUCUCUUGGUUUUAAAUUUGCAGCUAAAUAACAGCUAGUAUUGUAAGCAACUUACCAUUUAUUUGCUUAUUACUUUCUCUUAAAUUUCCGACAAAUAUUAUCCUGAAAUAGUGAUUUCCAUACCAGUUUGACCAGCAGCUUAUUUUGUCUGACCCUCCACCCCUUUGUUUCCUUUAAAUGUGCUAGACUCUAUGCAUAUUCAGACUUUGGAGUUGAAUGAACAUGUCAAUGCUAGUAGUCUGAUGUAUGAACAUCUCAUAACUGCUGAUUUGAUAAAAAAAAAUUCAUAGUCAUGUUUCCAAGAAACUCUAGGUGUUGAUAUAGAAUUAAUCCAAGCUCUGAAAUCAAGUUUUUUAAAAAAUAUUUGCAGGGGGUCUCUCUCUUGGAAAAGAUGAUCCGUGCAUUCGAGGCCACAAGGUUUACGUAAAGGCCAGAGUCAGAAGGGUCUAUUGUACACAAUCUUUGUGAAAUUGUGUUUGAUCUAUUGUGUUGAACGAUGAAGAGUAUUUGUAUUAUUGUCAUAGUUGUUUGAAUGCAAUUGAUUUUGUAGAAUUUAUUGAUAGCAGGGAUCUUUAUGCAAUCACUUUCUAAGUAUUUGGUUGUACAACACAUGUUUUUCGUAGCUUAUUUGAAUAUAUAGCUUCAAUUUAUUUA